UACGAAGGGGGCUAGCGUUGUUCGGAAUUACUGGGCGUAAAGCGCGCGCAGGCGGCUCUUCAAGUCAGGGGUGAAAGCCCAGAGCUCAACUCUGGAAUUGCCUUUGAGACUGUAGAGCUUGAGUACGGGAGAGGUGAGUGGAACUGCGAGUGUAGAGGUGAAAUUCGUAGAUAUUCGCAAGAACACCAGUGGCGAAGGCGGCUCUUUGGCCUGUAACUGACGCUGAGGCGCGAAAGCGUGGGGAGCAAACAGG
rnacentral:rRNA from 1 species